AGCGGUUAGUGGGGCGGGGGCAAGGAACGUCUGCGCAAAGCCCAGACUUGGGCCUCUAGACCCGACAAUGACCCUAAGAGUAUCUGUGUGAGAUAGGCUGUUUUGCUGGCAGCAAGAAGAGACAUGGCUCCUCUAAGAGAAGGCUUCUUGACUCAGUGAUAGCAGGAAAAACUGCAUGGCUCCUUUAAGAAGGCUUCCUGGUUUGAGGCCAACAACGGCAGUCUUCACGUGGGAGAUGCCAGCGACUGUGAGGUUCCGCAUCCAUGAUGCUGGAUGCCCCAGUCCCAGCCUGAAGGCCUGUGGGAUUCCUGGAUCCACCGACUUUCAGUCCAUGCUGGAAAGCUGGAAAACCUGGAUUCUGACAUCACUGAGGGAUGGCAGCACCUGUGGAAGUGGCUGCAGCCGAGGGCAUGAACUUAGGGACAGGAGAGAAGAAUUUGCUGUGAAGAUGUAAAGACAACCAAGUAAAGGAAAAUGCUCCCCCUUGGAUCUUCUUACGUCAUGGUCAAUGACAGAAGGUGCUGCCCUGUUUAGGGUAGAUUUUCCUGCAUAGAUUAUCCUCGUUAAGGAAAUCCCCCACAGAAGCUUGGGUCAUAGUUAAUUCCAGACGCAUAGGAGGAGUUAGAACGGAAGUUGUUUUAGGGAUUCCCUACAGCUAUUUCAAGACUCGUUGGACAGUGACCCCAGUGCCCUUUGAGUUAUGGGAUUUCUAAGUCUGGAAGGGUCAGGUGCUAUUCCUGGCCUCUGUGAGUACCUGGUAUUGUUUAUUGUUCCCUUCCAUUAUUGUUCUCUCUCUCUCUCUCUCUCUCUCUCUCUCUCUCUCUUUCUCUCUCUCUCUCCUUCUCCCUCUCUCUCUCUGCAUUAAAGGCCUUCAUCAUGGCAUCCUCAUACAUACACGUCAUUAUAUUUUUAUUGCCCUGUCACUUUCCUCCUCCUUUCCCUCAGAUACUCCUCCCCUCCCUCAGAUACUCCUUCCUUCCCUGAGAUACUCCUUCCUUCCUUCCUUCCUUCCUUCCUUCCUUCCUUCCUUCCUUCCUAUUAAAUGUUCUUCUGUCACCCUCUCUAUUUCUACCUCCUUAAAGGUCUCUUUCUUUCCUUUUUGUGGACCAAUUUCUAAUUCAAUAAUUUAUACACACACAUAACUAUGCAUACACACACAUAGAUGUGACCUUAAAACUAGGUUCUAUUGAUGAGAGAAAACAUCCGGCAUUUGUCUUUUUGAGUCUGGCUUAUUUCACUUAGUUAAUGAUUUCAGGUUGCAUCCAUUUUCCUACAGUUUAAUAAUUUUUAUUUUUUUAUGGCUACAUAAAAUUUCAUUCCUUAUGCACAUGACAUUUUCUUUAUUCAUUUAUCUGUUGAUGAGCAUGUAACCUUGUUCGAUUUCUUUGUGCAGUUACAAACAGUAUUUUGGAAUUUUAACUUAGAGUCUUUGCAAUAAACACUUCAGAAUGAUAUGGCUGGGUCCUAUGGUAGCUCUAUAUUCAAUUUUUUAAAAGUUUUUUUUUGAGAAAUCUCCAUUUCAUUAGAGCUUUAAUUUCCAUUUUGUUAAAUGUUAGUAAUGUUGAUCAUCUUUUCAUGUCUUUGUGGCCGCUUGUGUUAUCUUCUAGGGAAGAAUACCCAUUCCAGCAUUUUGCCCAAUUCGCUUUCUUUAUUAGUUUUACUUUCUGGGAGUUCUCUUUUCUCUCUACUCAAUAUUAAUCAAUGUUAAAUAGUCCCACAUUCCAGGAGUAGACGUCAAUCAGUCAUGGUCUGAAAUGUUUUUGAAUUUGAUUUGUCACCAUUUCAUUAUAAAUGUACGCAACGUUUUUCAUAAGAGGUAUUUACACAUAGUUCUUUUUUUCAGAAACAUCUGUGUGGUUUGAGGUUAAAGUGAGGCUUAUACAUCAUUGAAUGCUUCCUCUCUAUGACGUUUUGCUCCUCUUCAUAAAACAGGAUCCCUGGAGAAGGACCAGGGAUCGCCCCUUACAGGUUUGACAAUUUACCAGUGAAGCCUACAGAUCCGAGUAUUUUUUGUUACCAACAUAUUUUUAAUAAAUUUUAGAUCUACUCAGAUACUCUGUUCCUUCAUGAUUUGUUCCUGGUUAUGUUGUAUUUCUAGGAUCUGUUUCGCCUAUGCAUUUAGAGGUGCAUUUCAGGCAUAGUGGUUUUUUUAAAUUGCGUUCAUAAUUUGUUUAUUUCCACAGAAUCAGUAGCAAUGCAUACUUUCAUUUCUAAUUUUAGUCUUUUCCUUUUUUCUUUAUUCAUGUAGCUUAAGCUGCAUCAAUUUUGUUGAUAUAGCUCUUCACAGAUCAACCACUCACCGUUCAGCUGUCUGACUUGAACUGACAGUACCUUAACUACCUUCACUUCAACAACACAUAGAUUGUGCAUCUUUCCUAACCCUCACUCACCAUUGUUGAGGACAUAAAAUUACAUCUUUGUACACUGCAUAGCCCAGACCAAAACUGAACGUUAUCUAUUCUACUCUUGUCUGGUCCUGAUUUCUAUGAUCUCGAGUCUAAUGUUUAUUACUUCUUGCUCUGUUCAGAAUUUGGUUUCACUUGUGCUUUUAGUUCAUUGAGUAGUGAAG